CGCCAGACUCCUACGGGAGGCAGCAGUGGGGGAUAUUGCACAAUGGGGGAAACCCUGAUGCAGCGACGCCGCGUGGGUGAAGAAGUAUUUCGGUAUGUAAAGCCCUAUCAGCAGGGAAGAAAGAAGACGGUACCUGACUAAGAAGCCCCGGCUAACUACGUGCCAGCAGCCGCGGUAAUACGGAGGAUGCGAGCGUUAUCCGGAUUUAUUGGGUUUAAAGGGUGCGUAGGCGGACUGGAAAGUCAGCGGUAAAAUCGAGGGGCUCAACCUCUUUCCGCCGUUGAAACUGUCGGUCUUGAGUGGGCGAGAAGUAUGCGGAAUGCGUGGUGUAGCGGUGAAAUGCAUAGAUAUCACGCAGAACUCCGAUUGCGAAGGCAGCAUACCGGCGCCCAACUGACGCUGAGGCACGAAAGCGUGGGUAUCGAACAGGAUUAGAUACCCGAGUA
rnacentral:rRNA from 1 species